UACGUAGGGUGCGAGCGUUGUCCGGAAUUAUUGGGCGUAAAGAGCUUGUAGGCGGUUUGUCGCGUCUGCCGUGAAAAUCCGGGGCUCAACCCCGGACUUGCGGUGGGUACGGGCAGACUAGAGUGUGGUAGGGGGAGACUGGAAUUCCUGGUGUAGCGGUGAAAUGCGCAGAUAUCAGGAGGAACACCGAUGGCGAAGGCAGGUCUCUGGGCCAUAACUGACGCUGAGAAGCGAAAGCAUGGGGAGCGAACAGG
rnacentral:rRNA from 1 species